AGCGAACGCUGGCGGCAGGCCUAACACAUGCAAGUCGAACGGACCCUUCGGGGUUAGUGGCGGACGGGUGAGUAACACGUGGGAACGUGCCUUUAGGUUCGGAAUAGCUCCUGGAAACGGGUGGUAAUGCCGAAUGUGCCCUUCGGGGGAAAGAUUUAUCGCCUUUAGAGCGGCCCGCGUCUGAUUAGCUAGUUGGUGGGGUAAUGGCCCACCAAGGCUACGAUCAGUAGCUGGUCUGAGAGGAUGACCAGCCACAUUGGGACUGAGACACGGCCCAAACUCCUACGGGAGGCAGCAGUGGGGAAUCUUGCGCAAUGGGCGAAAGCCUGACGCAGCCAUGCCGCGUGUAUGAUGAAGGUCUUAGGAUUGUAAAAUUCUUUCACCGGGGACGAUAAUGACGGUACCCGGAGAAUAAGCACCGGCUAACUUCGUGCCAGCCGCCGCAGUAACAC
rnacentral:rRNA from 1 species